rnacentral:lncRNA from 1 species
CGCCAGAUCCCUCCUCCGCUCCGCCACUACCUCCGGCCGAACAGCCGCCGUUAGACUUUCCGGUAGUUCCAAACCAAAGGCCUCUCCCUCCCCCAUUCGUAUCCCUUCACAGAAACCACUCACCGCUCGCAUUUUCAGGUCAUUAUCCGAAAACAUUGUUUUCAAUUUUUGCAUAUAUAUAUAUAUAUAUCUAUAUCCAUAUCUAUAUCUAUAUAUAUAUCUAUCUAUCUAUCUAUAUAUAUAUAUAUACACAAAAAAAAAAAACAUAUAUAUACUCUCCGUUUCAUUUUAUGUGGCGCAUUUUACUGUUAAUAUAUUAAAAAAGAAUAACAUAUUUAUAUAUUUAGAAAUAAUUUAACUUUAAAAAUUACUUUUUUCCUUUAAUGAAAUGUUUUGUAUCUACACAAAUGUGUAUGACUUGUUUUAGACCAUAAAUUGGGACGGAUGGAGUAUAAAUUUUCACCAAGAAUAUUUAUCAUUAAUUGUUUCUAUAUAAUAUUGAACCAGAUACAUUUUUUCCUUAUAUUUUGUAGGUCACCUGUUGAAAUGAGCUGUAUAAGAGUGGAAACGUUGUUUCCAUAUCACACUGCUACUGCCUCUGCUUUGCUGAAUUC